rnacentral:lncRNA from 1 species
GACCCCACCCCCCACACAAUACAUUAUGUCAGAAAGAUUAAAUGGCUUAACACCAUCAGGCCCAAAAUGACAGAGUCAUGUUCAGGGCCUACAUUUCUUUUUUUCUUCCUUUCAUUUUUAGAGAUGGGGUCUUGCUUUGUUGCCCAGGCUGGAGUACAGUGGCACAAUCAUAGCUCACUACCACCUGGAACUCCUGGGCUCAAGCGAUCCUCCUGCCUUGGCCUCCCAAAGUGCUGGGAUUACAAGCAUGAGCUGCUGCACCCGGCCCCACAUUUCUGAGUGCUAGUUCACUUCUCAGAUGCACCUCACAUUGUUUUCCCUGAGCCUUCUGAAGCUCCCCUUCAACCAUCAAGAAACCCUCAUGGUGCUGAGCAUGGCAGCUCAUACCUAUAAUUCCAGCACUCUGGGAGGCUGAGGCAGGAGAAUCUCUUGAGGGCAGGAGUUUGAGACCAGCCUAGGUAACAUAGCGAGAGCCUGUCUCUACAAAAAAUAAAAAAAUUAGCUGGGUGAGGCAGCACGUGCCUAUCAUCCCAGCUACUCCAAAGGCUGAGAUGGGAGGAUUGCUUGAGUCCAGGAGUUUGAGCCUGCAGUGAGCCAUGAUUGUACCACUGCACUCCAGCCUGGGCAACAGAGUAAGACCCUGUCUCGAAACAAAACGAAAAAAAACCAACUAUGGGUUUGGGUUUCAGACCAGCCUGAAGCUAAGCCUGCUCACGGUGCUCUCGGGACAUUUGCCUUCAUCUCGCUGCAUCUAGAGCAAACAGGAAGGUGUUAGGAGAGGCAGGAAGGCGGGGUUUCCAUCAGCAUCAGGCAGGAGGGGACAAAGGAGUUUUUCAUGCCUGGCAGAAUCCUCACUCUAAGAUGGUAGGAAUGUACAGUUACAGCUAUAUAUCCCUUUGGGAAACUUUUUGGG